AUCUACGACUUUCACUUCGAAUGCACCCCAUCUUGUCUGAUCACGGAAGCUAAGCAGGGUUGGGCCUGGAUAGUACUAGGAUGGGAAAGAUCACAAGUAGAGCAUGAUGAAAAUGGGGAUUCCUAGGCA
ensembl:rRNA 5S_rRNA 5S ribosomal RNA